GCUCAUGAAGGAUAACAGUCAUCCGCUGGUCUUAGGAACCAAAAAUUCUUGGUGCAAAUCCAAGCAGGAGCU
rnacentral:tRNA from 1 species